rnacentral:lncRNA from 1 species
UAGUAAACCAUGUCGAAAUGGCCGCUCUUGUAGCGUAGACAACUCUGAUGCACGUGGGUAUAAGUGUUUGAAAUGUGUCAGGUCCAGUGAUUACAUGACCACCGGUGCUAAUUGUGAAGAAACUUGGGUGAAACUGCCGUCUAGAAGAUCAUAUGACCUUGUCCCUCGGCAAUAAAGCUGAAGGUCAGUAUCGGAUCGAUAAAUCGUUAUCUUUUUUGGACAACAUUUGGAUAACAAAAUACUUUGGUUCAAUAUUGUGUUCAAGAACAACGUUUGGAAGACCAGACAAGUUAUUUUGCAGCUUUAAACUUUGGAAACAACAUUCAUCUUGAAUUUCAGCUUUGCGAACGAAAGUGAAUGAAAAGGUUCGUUCUGUUUCAGCUUUAUGACAGCCUUUAGAAGAACUGAUAUUUUAAAUAUGCUCCAUUCUUAACUUGAUCCUUUCAACAAAACAAUGUCUGUUCAUUACUUAUGAUUAAGAAAUAAUAUAUCCCAAACAGUGAUUUGUCAUUGAAUAAAAUCAUUUUUGCAGUUUAGAUGCGAAGGAAUUAUAUCACGAGAUUGCAACCCGAUUGAUAUAAUAAUAUGCAUCUAAACG